UCAGUUGGAGAGAUGGAUAAGUGUGAGCUCUGUUAGCACGCUGAACUUAAGGACCUGAAAGGACUGCUGAUCUGUUUCAACUUGAUCACGUAGCGGCUGUAACUUAGCAAAGUACUGGGCAGUAUUUGAGGGGUGAUUGAAGGCGUCAGCUAGUACCAUCCUUGUUGAAAUCAACUGUGUCUUGAAGAACAGCUAUCUCUGGACAUCAAGUAUUCAGCGUCAGUUUCAUUCUCAUCAACUAGAUCUCUUCAAGAUACUCCUUGAACUAUUAAGUUGAUUCAAAUUACAUGCUUAGUCACUGGGAAAAAAAAAAAAAAAAGAACAGAACAAAACCAACAAACCAACCCAGAAACAGAGAGCCAAGCAGCAAUCGCUAUAUGGGAAGAGGAGACGACUACAGUCAUCACCCUUGAAGUCAGAAACGCUUUGCCUGGAGACGACGAUUGUGUAUGUGACACUGUUGCAGAACUGCCCUCACGAAGCAUGACUGUGCUCCUGAUCUGCCAUUUAUUCAAUAUCCUACACUAACUUUGGUUUCUGUCCAAUCUCACCUAAGGCCAUGUCGAGGGAGGUGACCCUUUCUGCUCAGCACUAGUGAAGCCAUAGCUAGAGUGCUGCCUCCAGGUCUACGUGCCCCAACACAAGACAGACAUGGACUUACUAGAAAGAGCCUAGCAAGAUGAUAAAGGUCAUGAGCAUCUGUCAUACAAGGAGAGGCUGAGCAAGCUGGGACUGGUUAUCCUAGAGAAGAGAAGGCUCAGGGGCAUCUCAUUA